CAUAAACCCACUGAGCGGCAAUGGAAGUUAAAUGAAAACCUAUUGCUCGACCUAACGGACAAGGAACAAGCCAGGCAAGCGCUGACACAAUACUUUGAUACCAACAACACACCAGACACUCCCCCCCUAACCGUAUGGGAGGCACAUAAAUGUGUCAUCCGGGGCCACUAUAUCAAAAUAUGCUCACAGCGCAAAAAAGAACGCACGCAACAACUGUCUACCUUAAACACACAAAUCGCCACAUUAAAGCAGGCACACAAACAAAACCAGGGGGAGGACGAAUUUCAUCAACUGACGGAGCUUAGGAG